rnacentral:rRNA from 1 species
GAUGAACGCUGGCGGCGUGCCUAAUACAUGCAAGUCGAGCGAAUGGAUUAAGAGCUUGCUCUUAUGAAGUUAGCGGCGGACGGGUGAGUAACACGUGGGUAACCUGCCCAUAAGACUGGGAUAACUCCGGGAAACCGGGGCUAAUACCGGAUAACAUUUUGAACCGCAUGGUUCGAAAUUGAAAGGCGGCUUCAGCUGUCACUUAUGGAUGGACCCGCGUCGCAUUAGCUAGUUGGUGAGGUAACGGCUCACCAAGGCAACGAUGCGUAGCCGACCUGAGAGGGUGAUCGGCCACACGGGGACUGAGACACGGCCCAGACUCCUACGGGAGGCAGCAGUAGGGAAUCUUCUGCAAUGGACGAAAGUCUGACGGAGCAGCGCCGCGUGAGUGAUGAAGGCUUUCGGGUCGUAAAACUCUGUUGUUAGGGAAGAACAAGUGCUAGUUGAAUAAGCUGGCACCUUGACGGUACCUAACCAGAAAGCCACGGCUAACUACGUGCCAGCCGCCGCCGUAA